GAGUCUAGCAUGUGCGCGAGUCAUUGGGACUCUAACGAAACCUAAAGGCGCAAUGAAAGUGAAGGUCCGCCUUGCGCGGACCGAGGGAGGAUGGGUGGUCCUGUGGGGCCGCCUCGCACUCCCGGGGCGUCUCGUUCUCAUCGCGAGAUGAGGCGCACCCAGAGCGUACACGCUGGGACCCGAAAGAUGGUGAACUAUGCCUGGUCAGGACGAAGUCAGGGGAAACCCUGAUGGAGGUCCGUAGCGAUUCUGACGUGCAAAUCGAUCGUCGGAACUGGGUAUAGGGGCGAAAGACUAAUCGAACCAUCUAGUAGCUGGUUCCCUCCGAAGUUUCCCUCAGGAUAGCUGGCGCUCGCUUCUCGCGAGUCUCAUUCGGUAAAGCGAAUGAUUAGAGGCAUUGGGGUCGAAACGGCCUCAACCUAUUCUCAAACUUUAAAUGGGUGAGAUCUCCGGCUUGCUUGAACUGUGAAGCCGCGAGAUAUCGGAUCAGAGUGCCAAGUGGGCCACUUUUGGUAAGCAGAACUGGCGCUGUGGGAUGAACCAAACGCCGAGUUAAAGCGCCUAAAUCGACGCUUAUGGGAUACCAUGAAAGGCGUUGGUAACUUAAGACAGCAGGACGGUGGCCAUGGAAGUCGGA
rnacentral:rRNA from 1 species